UUCUGGCAGGUUUUCACAUUUUGGUCUUGAACCGUUAUUUAAACUGCAUUUGCUAACUUUCUGUCUAUUACCCCUCCAGAACACCUGAAAGAUUCUGGAAGGUGUUGGCUUCCAAGCAACAGUGAAGUCGGGCCAGAGAGGAGCCGCCCUGCCCCAGAACAGCUGUGUGCUCUUGGGCUGGUCGCCCGCGUUUCUGAGCCACAGUUUCCUCUUCUAACAGGAUGUCACAGCUCACUGAGAAUAGAGAAGAUGAGCGAGCGUGGAUGUGUAUGCCAGGGGCCCGGUACGGUGCCCCCAAACAUUAGGCACCCGUAGACUGGCACAGCCUCCCCCCUCACUCCUGACUCUAGAACCAACACCAGCCUGUGGACAGAACCUUGCUCAGUUUCCCCCUCAAGCAUGGCCACCCUUUCCGGCGCCCGACCGAGGGAGACGCGUACCUCGUUAGCUGCAAGCUCAGUCCCUUGGCUGGCCAACGAGUCCUCCCAUCUCCUCGGGGACUCUGCGCCAGGCUCUCCUCCCAGGGAUGGGAAUGCUUUCCGGCUGCAGAGGAGAGUGGCCAGGGCGGAGGGCCGAGAGCCUGGGCUGCAAGUAAACGAGUUCACCUCUAGAUUCUGCUCUUUUUGCAAGCCCGCUUGUGGGGAGACGAUGCCAUUUCCGGUGCCAUCUGGGGAAAAUGACACUAGUCAGCAUUUCCUUUCUUGCACCAGGAAGUGAAAGAGUAAUGGCCGAAGCUUCACGACUCUGGCAAAUGCGAAAACACCAAGUG
rnacentral:lncRNA from 1 species